rnacentral:rRNA from 1 species
AGCAGUGAGGAAUAUUGGACAAUGGGCGCAAGCCUGAUCCAGCCAUGCCGCGUGAAGGAAGAAUGUCCUACGGAUUGUAAACUUCUUUUAUUUGGGAAGAAACUUCUCUACGUGUAGAGAACUGACGGUACCAAACGAAUAAGGACCGGCUAACUCCGUGCCAGCAGCCGCGGUAAUACGGAGGGUCCAAGCGUUAUCCGGAAUCAUUGGGUUUAAAGGGUUCGCAGGCGGUUUAAUAAGUCAGUGGUGAAAUCUCUCGGCUCAACCGAGAAACUGCCAUUGAUACUGUUAGACUUGAAUAUAGUUGGAGUAGGCGGAAUGUGUAGUGUAGCGGUGAAAUGCUUAGAUAUUACACAGAACACCGAUAGCGAAGGCAGCUUACUAAACUAUAAUUGACGCUCAUGAACGAAAGCGUGGGGAGCGAACAGGAUUAGAUACCCUGGUAGUCCACGCCGUAAACUAUGAUUACUCGAUAUUGGCGAUACACUGUCAGUGUCU